UGAGUAACCUGCCCUUAACUCUGGGAUAAGCCUGGGAAACUGGGUCUAAUACCGGAUAUGACUCCUCAUCGCAUGGUGGGGGGUGGAAAGCUUUAUUGUGGUUUUGGAUGGACUCGCGGCCUAUCAGCUUGUCGGUGAGGUAAUGGCUCACCAAGGCGACGACGGGUAGCCGGCUGAGAGGGUGACCGGCCACACUGGGACUGAGACACGGCCCAGACUCCUACGGGAGCAG
rnacentral:rRNA from 1 species